rnacentral:rRNA from 1 species
CCUAACACAUGCAAGUCGAGCGAUUUACUUCUUUAAAGAGCGGCGGACGGGUGAGUAACGCGUGGGUAACCUGCCCUGUACACACGGAUAACAUACCGAAAGGUAUGCUAAUACGGGAUAAUAUAAUAGAGUCGCAUGGCUUUCUUAUCAAAGCUCCGGCGGUACAAGAUGGACCCGCGUCUGAUUAGCUAGUUGGUAAGGUAACGGCUUACCAAGGCGACCAUCACUACCCGACCUGAGAGGGUGAUCGGCCACAUUGGAACUGACACACGGUCCAAACUCCUACGGGAGGCAGCAUCGGGGAAUAUUGCACAAUGGGCGAAAGCCUGAUGCAGCAACGCCGCGUGAGCGAUCAAGGCCUUCGGGUCGUAAAGCUCUGUCCUCAAGGAAGAUAAUGACGGUACUUGAGGAGGAAGCCCCGGCUAACUACAUGCCAGCAGCCGCGGUAAUACGUAUGGGGCUAGCGUUAUCCGGAAUUACUGGGCGUAAAGGGUGCGCAGGUGGUUUCUUAAGUCAUAAGUGAAAGGCUACGGCUCAACCGUAGUAAGCUUUUGAAACUGAGAAACUUGAGUGCACGACAGGAGAGUACAAUUCCUAGUGUAGCGGUGAAAUGCGUAGAUAUUAGGAGGAAUACCAGUUGCGAAGGCAGCUCUCUGGACUGUAACUGACACUGA